AUUGAACGCUGGCGGCAGGCCUAACACAUGCAAGUCGAGCGGAUGAAGGGAGCUUGCUCCUGGAUUCAGCGGCGGACGGGUGAGUAAUGCCUAGGAAUCUGCCUGGUCGUGGGGGAUAACGUCCGGAAACGGGCGCUAAUACCGCAUACGUCCUGAGGGAGAAAGUGGGGGAUCUUCGGACCUCACGCUAUCAGAUGAGCCUAGGUCGGAUUAGCUAGUUGGUGGGGUAAAGGCCUACCAAGGCGACGAUCCGUAACUGGUCUGAGAGGAUGAUCAGUCACACUGGAACUGAGACACGGUCCAGACUCCUACGGGAGGCAGCAGUGGGGAAUAUUGGACAAUGGGCGAGAGCCUGAUCCAGCCAUGCCGCGUGUGUGAAGAAGGUCUUCGGAUUGUAAAGCACUUUAAGUUGGGAGGAAGGGCAGUAAGUUAAUACCUUGCUGUUUUGACGUUACCAACAGAAUAAGCACCGGCUAACUUCGUG
rnacentral:rRNA from 1 species